rfam:Microbacterium sp. TNHR37B AVP41_contig000001, whole genome shotgun sequence.
GGGCCUGUGGCGCAGUUGGUAGCGCGCCUCGUUCGCAUCGAGGAGGUCAGGGGUUCAAAUCCCCUCAGGUCCA